UAACGCGUGGGAAUCUGCCCUUAGGUACGGAAUAACUCAGGGAAACUUGAGCUAAUACCGUAUAAUGACUCCGGUCCAAAGAUUUAUCGCCUAGGGAUGAGCCCGCGUCGGAUUAGCUAGUUGGUGAGGUAAAGGCUCACCAAGGCGACGAUCCGUAGCUGGUCUGAGAGGAUGAUCAGCCACACUGGGACUGAGACACGGCCCAGACUCCUACGGGAGGCAGCAGUGGGGAUUAUUGGACAAUGGGCGAAAGCCUGAUCCAGCAACGCCGCGUGUGUGAUGAAGGCCUUAGGGUUGU
rnacentral:rRNA from 1 species